rnacentral:tRNA from 1 species
GCGGCUAUGAUGAAAUGGUAGACAUAGAACACUUAAAAUGUUCGGAUAAAUAAUCGUGAAGGUUCGAAUCCUUCUAGCCGUA